rfam:Candidatus Methanoregula boonei 6A8, complete genome.
GCCUAAGUGACUCAGCCCGGCAGAGUACCUCCUUGGUAAGGAGGAAGUCGCGAGUUCAAAUCUCGCCUUAGGCU